UGAUCCUGGCUCAGGAUGAACGCUGACAGAAUGCUUAACACAUGCAAGUCGACUGGAAUUCACCUUCGGGUGAUAGUACGGUGGCGGACGGGUGAGUAACGCUUAAAGAACUUGCCCUCUAGACUGGGACAACUGUUGGAAACGACAGCUAAUACCGGAUAUUAUGAGAACCUCGCAUGGGGAACUUAUGAAAGGCUAUAUGCGCUAGAGGAGAGCUUUGCGUGCCAUUAGGUAGUUGGUAGGGUAAUGGCCUACCAAGCCGACGAUGGCUAGCCGGCCUGAGAGGGUGAUCGGCCACAAGGGGACUGAGACACGGCCCUUACUCCUACGGGAGGCAGCAGUGGGGAAUAUUGGACAAUGGGCCACAAGCCUGAUCCAGCAAUUCUGUGUGCACGAUGAAGGUCUUCGGAUCGUAAAGUGCUUUCAGUAGGGAAGAAAAAAAUGACGGUACCUACAGAAGAAGCGACGGCUAAAUACGUGCCAGCAGCCGCGGUAAUACGUAUGUCGCAAGCGUUAUCCGGAAUUAUUGGGCGUAAAGCGCGUCUAGGCGGUCUUUUAAGUCUGAUGUUAAAAUGCGGGGCUCAACUCCGUAUUGCGUUGGAAACUGGAAGACUAGAGUAUCAGAGAGGUGGGCGGAACUACAAGUGUAGAGGUGAAAUUCGUAGAUAUUUGUAGGAAUGCCGAUUGGGAAGCCAGCUCACUGGAUGAAUACUGACGCUGAAGCGCGAAAGCGUGGGGAGCAAACGGGAUUAGAUACCCCGGUAGU
rnacentral:rRNA from 1 species